rnacentral:rRNA from 1 species
UCGUAGGGGGCUAGCGUUGUCCGGAUUUAUUGGGCGUAAAGAGCGUGUAGGCGGCCAGGUAGGUCUGGUGUGAAAACUCGAGGCUUAACCUCGAGAUGUCAUCGGAAACCAUUUGGCUAGAGUCCGGAAGAGGAAAGUGGAAUUCCUGGUGUAGCGGUGAAAUGCGCAGAUAUCAGGAAGAACACCAAUGGCGAAAGCAGCUUUCUGGGACGGUACUGACGCUGAGACGCGAAAGCGUGGGGAGCGAACAGGA